CUGCGUGUUCAGCUGAACUAACGAACAAAGGGAUUCAGUUUACUUUCCUUGGUGAGCUGAAUGUAAUUCGUGUCGUUUGUAUUAUAUAUUCAUGAACGUGUUCAUUUGUUGUGUGGUUUGUGCUCAGAAAUAUUUGUUUCGUUUUUUGGGGUAGGAACUAUGUUUACGUGGUUAGUUUCGGGGGGACAUGUUUUAGUGUCACAGAGCCACCAGGUAUGUUAAGUUUUAAGUAACGGUAAAACUCAGCAACGGGAUCAUCAUUUUAAGGUAGCUUUCACAGUAGUAAUAGUUCCUGAAGUAAAGUGUUCUCAUUCCCUCUUGGAUGUGUGCAGUCAGUGAGGUACGUUUUGUUUAAGGUCUUGUUAUAUCUGUUCAACGGCACGAACAGCUAACUGGGGUAGCGAGAGGAGCUAGCGCUAGGAGCAGCCUGCUAACUACACAGCUAUGUUUACAUCCACACGACUCAACCAAGUGGAAACGCUUUGGACGAUGCCCCGUGCAAAGUCAUGCAACCAGUCUGAGAACAUCAAUGGGAAUGGCACAUGGGACACGUGGCUUUCAAUUCCAGCGAGGUGGCGGCACGAAUCUCUGCAUAUCUGACUGACAUCUCCCAGUGGAUGUCCGCCCAUCACCUGAAGAUCAACCCCGACAAGACCGAACUACUUUUCUUCCCUGGAAAAAACUCGCCCACCCAGGACCUGACCGUUAACUUCGGCGACUCCGUGUUAACGCCCACUCAGAAUGCCAGGAACCUCGGCGUGACACUGGACUCCCAACUCUCCCUGACUGCCAACAUCGCAGCGACGACACGAUCCUGUAGAUACACGCUCUACAACAUCAGGAGAAUACAACUUCUUCUCACUCAGAAGGCGGCAUAGGUACUGAUUCAGGCUCUUGUCAUCUCCCGCCUUGACUACUGUAACUCUGCUGGCAGGUCUCCCAGGUACCGCCAUACGACCACUGCAGCUCAUCCAGAAUGCAGCAGCUCAUCCGGUCUUCAACCUUCCGAAAUACUCCCACACCGCUUCUCCGUUCUCUUCAUUGGUUACUAGUGGCUGCCCGCAUCCAGUUCAAAACAUUGGUACUGACGUACCACGCUGUGAAUGGAUCGGGACCAGUCUACAUCCGGGACAUGGUGAAACCCUACAUCCCAACACGCACACUCCGCUCUGCAUCUGCCAAGCUGCUUGUUCCUCCCUCACUGAGAGAAAAGCACUCGGCGAGAUCGCGACUCUUUGCUGUCCUGGCUCCCAGAUGGUGGAAUGAGCUCUCCGAUGACAUCAGGAAAACUCAAGAAAAAACUCAAGACACACCUUUUUAGACUCUACCUUGACUAAAACACUAGCAGACCGUAGCACUAACAAAUGGUAGCACUUAAAUUGUACUUAUAAUGGCACUUAUCUUUAACAUGUUUUGAAACUGCUUAGUUGAUGAAAAAUGUACUUUCUUGUUACUUGUUCUUCUGAGUUUGUAUCUCUAUGUGGAAAUGCACUUAUUGUACGUCACUUUGGAUAAAAGCGUCAGCACUUAUUUAAGAAGACUCCUCAUGUGACUUAAAAUGUGUUUAAUGAAUCCAGAAUGUAAUAUUUGUUCAGUAUGCAGGGGCAGUGAUUUAUUUAGUCAUGUUUAGUCAUAUUUUGUUUUUUUUACAUGACAAUAUGGUUUGGUACGUGCUGAGUUAAUGAAUAUACAUUCUAAGUGCAAUGUCCAUAUAUGAAUAAGAGUUGUAUACGUUUAUCAUAGUCAAUAUGGUAUGGAAAUAUCCCUUAUGUAGUUAGGUCAAUAGGAACUAUAUUAGGCAGUAAUCACAGCUAAGGUAAUUACAGGUGGAUAUUUCUGGGAAUUAACCUUGAUUGAGACUGCAUCUAUAAGAUAUACAGGACAAGAAAAAUGCACUGGAUGUAAAUUGUACAUGUGUUGAAUCAAUUAUACGGACGCAAACUGGAGAACGAGACAAGUGUUGCUGUGAUUCUUGCGCUUCAGACUCUACCUUUAUUUUACAGGAAUGCAUCUUUUUGUUAUCGUGGUCAUCGUGCCCGAGACCCGUAACAAUUACUCUGCGAUCUCCACCAACUGUCUCUGCUACAU